AAUGUUGUUAUUUUUAUAGCGCGAGGACCCCAUUUUGGAUUUUCCCCUCAUGUGGUGAUGAACUUUGAGGGGAGUUAGGCAUUUUGUUUGAUAAAUUAAUAUCUUCUCUGAAGCGUUACUGAAAUCCUCUGAAGAUGGACGAAGAGAUAACGGACGGUUACAGUGAACCCUGUGGACAGUGUGGCUCAGUGUGUUGGGGUGUUACAAACGGAGGGCAGUUCUUCUGUAAAAACUGCCACAAUGUUAUUGAGAGGAUGAAAGAAGUUGAGGAUAUGAGCAGAUUUACCGUCAACAGCAGGAUCUCCUCUUUAUCAUCAAGCAAACGGAAGCGGGAGGUAAAAGGACGUGCGCGAGAAUGGAUGAUUUGCGAAGGCUUUCAGUUGAUCCUUAAACUUCAGGCCGAAGCGUUGGUUGAUCUGGGCGUCUGCCCUCAGUUGAAGACGGAUGUGUUAUGGAUUUUCUGGAAGCGAUACAUGCAGAAGACCAGGCAGGCGUACACGAGAAACCCAGUGAACAUUCUCAGAGGUUCAGCGUUCACGCCUCAGGACCAGACCAGUGACACCGAGGUCGAGUCAUCCGCCGCUUUCAGCGACGCGUCAUGUCACUCUGAGACUGGCUCGAUGAUGGGAGCCAGCAGCGUCUCUGGAUACUCCAGUGAUGGGAGAUCUUCAGUGUGUUCGGGCUCCAUGGACGCCGAAUGCUACUUUGGACAGAAAGACAGGAAGAACCUGAUGACCAUGCCCCGAACGCUAGCUUUCUGCUAUCUGGCUCUGCUUUGGGUCCGGGAGGCCAUCACCCUGGCGGACUUGCUCAGGUUGGUGUCUAAGGGCCACAUCCCUUAUGUCAAUGCUCAUGCACUUUUUCCUGAAGACAUGAAGUUCUUUGGCAAGGAUGCCAUGAUCUUUAGAGUUGAGUCUAUCCCCUCUUACAGUAAUGUACACAGGGACGCGGCGAGUCUGGCGGCACUGAUCGAGCUGCCUGCUUUCCCUCCUGUGACUCCGGACUGCCUCCUUCAUCCAGCUCUGCUCACAUUACGCUAUUUAAUGGAUGCUAACCUUCCCGACAAGCUUCAUGCAUUAGUUCGUGAAGUAAUACAGAAAACAUCUAUGGGGACAGACUCAUUUCUGACCUUUGACCCUACUGAGAGAAAGCCUAGACUUCCGUGCUAUGAUCUUCAGGCCGCAGCGCUCAUUGUUGUGUGCAUGAAGCUUCUGUUCAGGCUGGACGAUAAUGUGGAGUGGAAGUUGGCAAAGAAAUCAGAUGAAAAAAUAAAUGAAAUGGACCACGGGAAGAGCAAGACAACCAAGCGAGGUGGAAAGAUGUUUAGUCUGAGGAAAUGGUUUAUGGUUGUACAGCCCGCACUGGAACGAGCCAGGAAAAAAGAACAGCAGGCGACGGCCAUGCAACAGUGGAAAUCUGAGACGCCCAUAAUACCGUCUUUGAAACAUAAAACCGUCGUACUAAAACGGAGACGUGUGGUUGAGCAGCUACAGAGCAGUUUCAAAGCUCUUUCUGGCUCAGCUCCAGAACAGCAGGCUUCCACCCCAUCCAGCUUCACCUUCCUCUGGGGAGAUGAGGAUGGAGCUGAUGGACCCAGUCUGCACCACAGGUGCCUGGACUAUCUGAUGAUGAACAAGAAAAGAAUCUGGCACUUUGUCAACCGAAAAUAUUGGCACACUGACUUGAGGAGAUGCCAUAAACGUCAGUGUGGGGACCAUUUCGGUGAGCUGGAGCCUACUUUGCCCAGGAUGUACGUGUGGUUGCUGGGACUCUUCUCUUUCAUGCUGGGUGUAGAAGAUGCAAAGCUGCACGGUGCGGUCGUCCAGGUCGAACAAGGGCUACUGAGAAAGACGGGCCACAAAGAAACACCAGAAAACCUCGACGAAUGAAGAUCGCUAGGAUUUCAGUGUUUUCUUCUGUUACGCAUUAGAACAGAGUGAGAUGCAACCUUUGUAAGCCGACUCUACCUUCGCUGUUGAAACUGUUCGCUGCGGAAGAGGGAAGAUGGGAGAAAAGUUAAACCGACUCAUUUCUGGACCAGGAAAAUCUAAACAUGUAAACAAAAUGUGAAAUACAGAAACUAUUGAACUACGGUGCACACGGAAAUGCGUCUGUGCACGGAUUCAAAUCUGUUCAUCUUUACACUAGUUUGUAAUGGACGGAACGUUGGUUAAGAUGAUCUCCGCUGUAACGUUAGCAUCUGUGGCGGCUUUCGUCGUCGAUGUAGAAAUAAUACGCCAUUAAUAAUUAUAUGUGAAUAAUACAUUUUAUGCAUGCACGAGAAUUUAAUAUAUAUUUGUUUUAUUCAAGAUAUUUAGAUAUCACAUUCUUUUUGCGUUGCCAUAAACACUUUUCACUGUCCUAUACGAAGCUGUUUCUCAGGGGGGCAUUAAGCCCAGAGGACACUAAAUCAAACUUAUCUUUUACAUGUGUAUAUAUAUGAUGUGUUGGUCAAAUUUGCAGUCUUCUGACUAUUCUAAACGAAUUACAAUCUGAAUCGAAGGUCAUUCUUGUAAUGGGAUUCUUGAUCGUUUAAAAAUAGAGGCAAGCAGGAAUUGGAGGAAACCGUAAAGUAAACCAAAACCUUAGUGCUGAGCUUUGGGUACGAAAAUGUUCUGACCCUAGACACCUCAUUUCCUUUACUGUAGAACAGGGCUACUUUCUUAUAGUGGGGGGGGGACAAAGUAACAUCCAGAAAGGUCCAACCAUGCACCAUCCUUUUUAAUUUUUUAUGGUGUCAGAAAUGAUAGCUUUGGCACUGAGGAUACUGUAUGUGG